CUUCUACUCCCUCCGCUCCAAAUUAGUUGAGUUGGAUUUACCUAGGUAUGGAUGUAUCUAACACUAAAAUGUGUCUAGAUAUAUUCGUAUCUAGACAAAUCUGAGUCAAUUAAUUCGGGAUGGAGGGAGUAGUAU
rfam:Triticum aestivum genome assembly, contig: Triticum_aestivum_CS42_TGACv1_scaffold_609552_7DL